GACGAACGCUGGCGGCGUGCUUAACACAUGCAAGUCGAACGAUGAAGCCGGAGCUUGCUCUGGUGAAUUAGUGGCGAACGGGUGAGUAACACGUGAGUAACCUGCCCUUGACUCUGGGAUAACUGCGGGAAACUGUAGCUAAUACCGGAUACGACCCUCGGAGGCAUCUCCUGGGGGUGGAAAGAAUUUCGGUCAAGGAUGGACUCGCGGCCUAUCAGCUAGUUGGUGAGGUAAAGGCUCACCAAGGCGACGACGGGUAGCCGGCCUGAGGGGGUGACCGGCCACACGGGGACUGACACACGGCCCAGACUCCUACGGGAGGCAGCAGUGGGGAAUAUUGCACAAUGGGCGCAAGCCUGAUGCAGCAACGCCGCGUGAGGGAUGACGGCCUUCGGGUUGUAAACCUCUUUUAGCAGGGAAGAAGCGAAAGUGACGGUACCUGCAGAAAAAGCACCGGUUAACUACGUGCCAGCCGCCGCCGUAA
rnacentral:rRNA from 1 species